GAUGAACGCUGGCGGCGUGCUUAACACAUGCAAGUCGAACGAUGAAGCCCAGCUUGCUGGGUGGAUUCGUGGCGAACGGGUGAGUAACACGUGAGUAACCUGCCCUUAACACUGGGAUAAGCCUGGGAAAAUGGGUCUAAUACAGGAUAGGAGCGUCCACCGCAUGGUGGGUGUUGGAAGGAUUUAUCGGUUUUGGAUGGACUCGCGGCCUAUCAGCUUGUUGGUGAGGUAAUGGCUCACCAAGGCGACGACGGGUAGCCGGCCUGAGAGGGUGACCGGCCACAUUGGGACUGAGACACGGCCCAGACUCCUACGGGAGGCAGCAGUGGGGAAUAUUGCACAAUGGGCGGAAGCCUGAUGCAGCGACGCCGCGUGGGGGAUGACGGCCUUCGGGUUGUAAACCUCUUUCAGUAGGGAAGAAGCGAAAGUGACGGUACCUGCAGAAGAAGCACCGGCUAACUACGUG
rnacentral:rRNA from 1 species